ensembl:snRNA LOC120094414 U6 spliceosomal RNA
UUGCUUGCCUCAGCAGUACAUAUACUAAAAUUGGAAUGAUACAUCAUGGACCCUCCACAAGGAUGACACACAAAUUCAUGAUGUGUUUCAUAUUUUU